rnacentral:lncRNA from 1 species
CUAAAUAUAAGCCUACAGCUAAAUAUCUUUUUUCUAAACCCUAGAACUUUAAGACAUCGCUUCCUUCCUUCCUUUCCCUUCUUUGGCAAAGAAUCUAUACUACCAUGGCUAUAGACAGAUCAUGUUCUUUUUAUUUUCGAUCAAAAUUUUGCUCAUCUCUCUUCGCCUAUCACAAUGAAUCAAGGACCCAUUCGUUUCUUUCUUCUUUUUAUUUUUUGAGGACAAAGAUAAUUUGAGAGUGGACUCGGUACAGACUAGUAUCACUAUUUUUUACUCCCCUCAGUUUAAGGCUUCGACUAUCAAAAUAUUACGUGAAGCCUCUCCCAAAUCUUUUUUUCGGAGUUAUGUUGAUACAAACAACUAAUUUCUUUCAACGUUUGUAUUCUCUCUCAAGCUUCAAUUCGAAAUCCAAAAGGGCAGUUUGAAACGACCUCUAAGCCUGAGUUUCACUGCCUAGUAAAAGGUAAAUUUGACUACACUCUGUUUAUUUUUAUAAUUAUUAAAAUACUGUAUUUUAGAAAUCAUGAUUUAGUAUCAUUGUAGUAGAAAGUAUUAUUUAUGCUUGUUGGGUCUUUUUAGUUAUGAAUCUUGAAUAGUAGUUU